AGUUUUAGAUUGGUCUGCGGUGUAGCAUCUUGUGUCUAUAAAAUUAUCUGCUCGUUAUGCGUAGAUUAUCUUUUCUAUUACAGUUUUUUUUAAAGACAUAACAUUAACGAUGGAGAACUGCAAAUAUGUUGCUAUUGCUCUCAGUAACAUUACUGCCCUUUAUUUAUCAGGCACUAUCGACAAAGGUCAGUGGGAAAAAGUUGUGAUGGACUACUUUCUGGAGGACGAUAAUGUCUUGCUGACUUUUACUGACUUUGAAAAUGUAUCAGACGAUGAGGAAAUCCCUGAUUUAGGUAAAAACAUUUUUCAUUGAAGAAGUCAUUGUAGGGUCUUCUGAUGACAGUGAUGUGGAAGAAACGGUGAUCAACAGUGUUGUUGUCACAGAAGAAGUUGACCAAGUUUUGAAAUCAUGAAAUGUCUGGUAGAAGCAGAGUAUGAUAAGGAGAUUUCAAAGGCAUAGGGAGUCGAAAAGUUAACACUGAAGGCUAUUGUAUAAAACAGCAGUCUCCGGAUUACACCUUCAAAAAGAUCUGAUGAUUUUUAGGGCAUUUGCACAUUGUCAGUGUGAACCAGAGUGACUUGACACAACGGGACAAGCAAGCUGUGCAAACAAAACAGAAACACAGGACUUGUUAUUUAAUGAAAGGGGUUGCAGUCUGUCGUGAAGCUUUCAUCCAUGUAUAUGGCAUCAGUAGAACACGCCUGACUCUCCUACACAAGUCAUACAAGGAGAAUGGUCUAAUGUCUCCCAUCAAAAAGAGAGCUGGCCCAAGCAAGCACAGGUUACACCUGAAGCAUGAGGACUUGCAGCAAGUUGUGAACUUCAUCAACAACUACGCAGAAGAUAAUGUUGUUUUUGGUAUUUGGUAUUUUAUUAGGAUCCCCACCCCAUUAGCUGUUGCAAAAAAAGCAGCUACUCUUCCUGGGGUCCACAUAAAACAUCAUUAGACAAGAACAGCUCAAGGACAGAACUACAUACAUUUAACAAGUAUUACCAGGACACCACCCAGGACACACAUUGGUGGACAGCUGCUGCCAUCCCAUGUGACAAAAGCAGCCGUGUGGCGUCUCUACAAGAACUCGAUGACAACACUUGUUAUUGUCGUCGGGCUGUCUUCCUUCAGGUAUCUGUGGAGAAAAUUGCUGCCCCACAUCUCAAGCACCAAGCCCGGGCCAGAAAAUGGUUGCUGACUGCAAGACCACCUGUCAAGACCUGCAGUUUUCUCUGGGGGCCACUACUGAACCAGCAAGUGCACUAUCCUUCUGACCCUAUGCAGCCAGGUCCCAUCUACUUUUAAUACCUCGCAAGUGUGGCUUGUUUGGUUGCUGCUGUGAAGGAAUACCACAAGUCAACUACUUGAUUGAGGAAGGCAUGUCAUCCAGCAAAGCCAGCAGCACAGUCAUCAACUACAUGCACCAUUUCUUCACCAACUACGGAGUUGGGGAAACACGUGUGAACCUGAAUUGUGAUAACUGUAGUGGCCAAAACAAGAACAAGUUUGUGCUCUGGUAUUGUGCAUGGUCCACCAGUCUGGAAUUUCACUUCCUGAUCACAGACCACACCAUGUUUGCCCGGCCUCAUCAAGCAGCGCUUUCAGAAAGACCAGAGUGAACACUUUGUAUGAGAUUGCUGGUGUUGUGAAGGACAGCACUGUGACAGGGGUCAACAUCCCACAGCUGGUUGGACUGGAGGAUGGUACGGUGCUGGUGGAAAGCUAUGGGUGGCAACAACACCUGACUCCGUACUUCAGGCCGCUGCCACAGACCAAGUAGUAGCAGCACUUCAGCUUCGAUGCUCUGGAGCCUGGUGUUGCCGCCAAGGAGCGUUCGGACUCAGUCUGGACAAGAUUUCAGCAGUUGCGCAAUGCUGACAUCCUUCCUCCCAUAGAUGGUCUGCUUGUACAAUCAUCACCUGGACUGGACACAGCUAUAGAAACACAUAUUUUUGAGAUCAUCAGGAAGUUUUGCGAUGAAGAGGCUAUGGACAUCACAUGCCCUGCACCAAAGUCAAGGACAGGACAAACACACUCUCCGAAAAUAGAUUCCCUUGUUCAUACGUGGUUAGGAUGGACCAGUCAUCAGCACUAUCUGCAGUGCUUCUAUUCAAAUGACUCUCUCCUAACAAACACACCAUAUGUUGCUGCUACAAUUUUUUUAUCCUGCUGCUCAGCCACUUUACCCCUGAUUGUAUGCAUUAUAACUACCUUAUCUAUCACUGAUAUUGUUAUUGAUGUUGCUUUUGUACAUACUGUCCGUUAUUUUAUAUAUAUUGACAAUAUCUAUGUCUGAUAUUGCUACUAUGCAAGUAACCAUUUGGCUGUACCAUUUACACCUUCUGUAGAGACCCAUCCACUUAGCAAUAUGUGGCUGGGGGUUAUAGCAUUUCUUUCACAUGACUCAUUAAUUUAGACAAUUGUUGCUGGGUCAGUGUCAUCUAAUAUUUAUAAAAUAUUUUUAUCUGGACAUUUUCUGUUUACCUGGGUUUUCCUUAUUUUAGGCUACUACUUUUACCACUUUUAGUCUUAUUCUUAUUCUUUAGUACACUACUCACUGUUUAGCAAAUAACCUUACAAGCAAAUCCUUACAGAGAUGGGUGGGGCUGGCUUAAGACGGUGUGAACAAUGCUGAAUGGGUGUAGACAAAGGGGAGCUUCUUAAG